rnacentral:rRNA from 1 species
GUGCUUGCGGCAUGCUUUACCAUGCAGUCGAACGGCAGCGGGUCCUUCGGGAUGCCGGCGAGUGGCGAACGGGUGAGUAAUGCAUCGGAACGUACCCAGUCGUGGGGGAUAACUACUCGAAAGAGUAGCUAAUACCGCAUACGACCUGAGGGUGAAAGCGGGGGACCGCAAGGCCUCGCGCGAUUGGAGCGGCCGAUGUCGGAUUAGCUAGUUGGUGGGGUAAAGGCUUACCAAGGCGACGAUCCGUAGCUGGUCUGAGAGGACGGCCAGCCACACUGGGACUGAGACACGGCCCAGACUCCUACGGGAGGCAGCAGUGGGGAAUUUUGGACAAUGGGCGCAAGCCUGAUCCAGCCAUGCCGCGUGCGGGAAGAAGGCCUUCGGGUUGUAAACCGCUUUUGUCAGGGAAGAAAAGCUCUGGGCUAAUACCUCGGAGUGAUGACGGUACCUGAAGAAUAAGCACCGGCUAACUACGUGCCAGCAGCCGCGGUAAUACGUAGGGUGCGAGCGUUAAUCGGAAUUACUGGGCGUAAAGCGUGCGCAGGCGGUUGUGCAAGACA